GGUCACUGCAGUGUCUUCUCCCUUCAAAAGAUCCAACUGAUGCUGAGGUAGAAAUUGAAUGUCGGCGCCCCCUAAUCCUCCUCUGCGGACUCUUGGGAGGAUGUCUCUUCAGUCUCCUGAGCAGGCUUCUUCUGAACGACUUGUUGUGGCCAUUUCCUAGGUCUGCCUCUUGGCCGUUUUUUCUCCAAUGGUCUCUGCUUUCUUCUGGGCUGCUUUAGAGGGACUCUUGUUUUUGCUGCCUUUGGGUCUUCCUCUGGGUCUCUUAGGAGAGGGCUCACAGGAGCUUAGGAGGUUGGCUCUUGCUGCUGCUUCCUGGGUCGGCCGCGUCCUCGCUUCUGUGGCACCUGGGCGGCAGGUUGCCCCUGGGCUGAUGUGGAAGGCUGCCCGGCGCCCUCACCGCGUGCGCUCAUCCUGCCUCCCGCCGCCGCUACCACUGCCUCCGCCGGUACCGCCACUGCAGCCGCUCGGCCUCCACCGCCCCGGAUCCGCCCAGCACCUUUCGGUAGACGGGAUGGAGAGAGCUGGAGAGGGCAAGAGCAGCGAGAGCAGGCGAGCUGGCGUGUGCGCCUGGGACUGCUGCUGCUUAGGCUGCCGCCGCUGCCACCAUCCUGCAUCACUGUUAAGGGAAGUGGAAACUUGAGGGUUCUUUGGAAAGUCGGUGGGAUGGUGUUUUGCUGGGGCAAACACGUGAAGGAAUGUUGCCGUUGCGUUAAAGUGGACACAGGUGUGAAAGGCUAAGGCAGACUCCUGAAGAAACGUUUUGUUGAAGCUGACACAGGAGAGAGGAUGUUCUGCUAAAGCAAGAAAGGAUACCUGAUGAAGGAUUCUUCGAUAACAACAUGCAUGUACUGGUCAGCUUUACAUUGUGUAGUUGAGCUGUAUUUUGCCAGGACGCCAUAGAGAGAAAUGCACCAAAAAACUUCUGGUGGUGUGCUGCAGCUUCUUGAUGCUUCCAAGGACUCGGGCUGAUUGGCAGAGUGAUGCCAGCUGAGACAGGCGAUUGUGCUGAGGCAAGGCAUGUGGAGGACACGUGAUCUAUGGAGGGACUAAAUAGAACUUGACGGACAGUGGCAGAGGCUGAGCUUGGCUUGUUUAGAGAGCUAGCUGUGCAACAGUUUGUCAGUCUCGCAGCAUUGCUGAUCACUGCUGAGAGGAGAGGCACAACCAGGAACUUCUCAGGGCAUUCCUCUGGGUCCUUCCUGCUGACUCAAGCUGAAGCUAUGGCCAGGUUAUCUCUGCUAGGUCAUGUCUCCACUGUUGAUUCGUGUUUGCUAUCCCAACUCUACUGAACUGCACUGCUGUGUAUCUGUGAAAAGUUUGUUGCCGCCAUCUGCUAACCUGUAAACUGAACUGCAGAUUUCCAGACAACACAGACAGGAGUUGCUCCAAAGAAGUUUUCUAAACAGGUCCACUUCCCCCAUAUCCUUUCUUUCCCACCUUCUGUUGGGUGGUGGGCUAAAAGAGGGUUAACUCAUUUAAGAAUUUGAAAAAUUAAAGUUACAAUUAACAG